CCUACGGGCGCAGCAGUGGGGAAUAUUGGACAAUGGGCGAAAGCCUGAUCCAGCCAUGCCGCGUGUGUGAAGAAGGCCUUCGGGUUGUAAAGCACUUUCAGUGGGGAAGAAAGCCUUGGGGCUAAUACCCUCGAGGAAGGACAUCACCCACAGAAGAAGCACCGGCUAACUCCGUGCCAGCAGCCGGGUAAUACGGAGGGUGCGAGCGUUAAUCGGAAUUACUGGGCGUAAAGCGCGCGUAGGCGGUCUGAUAAGCCGGUUGUGAAAGCCCCGGGCUCAACCUGGGAACGGCAUCCGGAACUGUCAGGCUAGAGUGCAGGAGAGGAAGGUAGAAUUCCCGGUGUAGCGGUGAAAUGCGUAGAGAUCGGGAGGAAUACCAGUGGCGAAGGCGGCCUUCUGGACUGACACUGACGCUGAGGUGCGAAAGCGUGGGUAGCAAACAGGAUUAGAUACCCGAGUAGUC
rnacentral:rRNA from 1 species